rnacentral:lncRNA from 1 species
ACAAAACUCACUUUUAGGAAAACGAGAAAAUACCAAACAGGGCAACAAGCACACGACGUAUCCACUUGGUUAUUUAUUUGUGACAGGAAGUGUAGUUUAUUGGUGGGUGUGACGAGGGGGCAGCGCCAAGGCUCGUGAGUGCAGGGCCCGCCAUUUGUCCCGGGGCCACGACGAGGACUGUGUUGACCCCACAGCGCUCGGGGACGAGCCGCGUUGGAGCCGAAAUGUCUUCAGAUUCACCUGCACUAAACUUAGUGAAGCCCCGCUUCUUAGAGACGUGGACCUUCUGGCGGCCGGGACCCUGGCACGUGGCCCUGCAUUGAGCCUCGGUCACCGGCUCCUCGUUCUGCAGCUGGUGCGGAUGGACGUGAUGACUUGCGCAGGCGGACCUGGCCACCGUGCCCGGGCACUUUCCAAAGGCACCUGCGUCCCUUCCCUGUCUGGAGUCUGUCAGCCCCGCGCAGGACCACAUCUUGUUGAUGCCGAUGGGGAAGGGGCGAGCCGCACGCAGAGGUGAAAACCCGUCUUUGCCACAGCUUUUCACCAUGUACUUGUUGGCACAAAUACGAGCGGCCUCCAGAGCUUCGAAGAGAGCUGCUCAUGUUCGUCAGACAGCACGUGGCCACAGAGCGGGACCUCAUCCACUUUUGCCUCCCUCCGCCCCAGGUCAAAGUGCUGAAUUUCCCAACCGCGUUAUCCCAGUUGACAAGCGGCUGCUUUCCCCCUCGACACACAGUGUCCUGUAAGGGUCUCCCCAGGUGACUGACUGUUCCCCUAGAUGGCCACUUGCGUGGCCGCAGCGCAUGCUAGUGUGUGGAUGGAGCAAAAUUCAUAGAACCAUUGCUCUUGGUGUUGGACCCUCAGGCUCUUCCUAAAAUUCAGCAUUAGGAGUGAUGAUGCGGGAGAGAAGAAUCCUCCACGCAGAGGGGAGCUGGAGCUGUGCACACGAGAAACGUGGCUGCGUAUUGAGACAGACUGAGAGAGAGACGGUGGGUGAGGGUCGCACCGAGGAGGGGAGGUUCAGAGCACAUGCCGGAAGUCUGCGAUCCCUACGGUGAUUCCUACUGUGUUUGGGACGAUGUUCGUCUUCCAUUUCAUACCAACACAUACUACUUUUUUAAUUGCAAAAGGAAUGCAUUGGGUAUAAAAAAUUUGGGAAAUUCUUAACAUAGAAAACACUAUCUUAAUGAUUAAACCAUUUAAAAUGAUUUGUAUGAAUCUUUAGGAUAAAUAUUUUAAAAUCAGAUAAGUAAGUACUC